rnacentral:rRNA from 1 species
UACGUAGGUGGCAAGCGUUGUCCGGAAUUAUUGGGCGUAAAGCGCGCGCAGGUGGUCUCUUAAGUCUGAUGUGAAAGCCCCCGGCUCAACCGGGGAGGGUCAUUGGAAACUGGGAGACUUGAGUGCAGGAGAGAAGAGUGGAAUUCCACGUGUAGCGGUGAAAUGCGUAGAGAUGUGGAGGAACACCAGUGGCGAAGGCGACUCUUUGGCCUGUAACUGACACUGAGGCG